GACCGGCUACUGCAUGGGGGCGCGGCUGUCGCUGCUGACGGCCGGGACCUACCCCGAGCGGGUCGCGGCCGCGGCCGGCUUCCA
rnacentral:tRNA from 1 species